rnacentral:rRNA from 1 species
UACAGAGGUCUCAAGCGUUGUUCGGAUUUACUGGGCGUAAAGGGCGCGUAGGCGGUCACGACAAGUCAGUUGUGAAAUCUCCGGGCUUAACUCGGAACGGUCAACUGAUACUGUCGGACUAGAGUGCAGAAGGGGCAACUGGAAUUCUCGGUGUAGCGGUGAAAUGCGUAGAUAUCGAGAGGAACACCUGCGGCGAAGGCGGGUUGCUGGGCUGACACUGACGCUGAGGCGCGAAAGCUAGGGGAGCGAACGGG